GUCUACAACCAUGCCACCCUGAACAUGCCUGAUCUCAUCUGAUCUCGGAAGCUAAGUAGAGUCGGACCUGGUUAGUACUUGGAUGGGAGACCACCUAGGAAUACCAGGUGCUGCAGGCA
rnacentral:rRNA from 1 species